rnacentral:misc_RNA from 1 species
GAAGAGAGGAAAAGGGAAAAGGAAAGAAGUGGGAAAGGUUAUAGAGUAUAGAAGAAGUUGGGUUGUAGAAAAUAUUUAAAGUUCUCUCUUUAUGUCCUUCUGUCUACUUACAUUCAGCAAUGGAAGUUAAAAUAUUUGAUAGCCGAAUGCAUUUUUCCACAGAAUACUCUAGAACUUCUAUUUAGUUGGUUAAUUAUUGUUUUAAUUAACAUUUUAGUUACUCUUUUACUCUGUUAUAAGUUAAAUUAGGUUCCUAAUCACCCAGUCCUUUCCCCAGAGGCAUAUUUUGACAUAUUA